rnacentral:tRNA from 1 species
UCCCUGAUAGCUCAGUUGGUAAAGAAUCUGCUUGCAAUGCAGGAGACCCAGGUUUAAUUCCUAGGUUGGGAA